UGAAAAAAGAGGGAGAGACCGAGACGAAAGACUGAUAACGAAGAAAGAUUCAUCGUCUCUGUUCAUCUACUCUCCUAGUAGCACUCGUCUUGUGUUAUAAACUCUGUCCUAAGUGUGAAUACGAGGAAUGCAAGGAUCUUGAAUCUUACAUUGAUUUGAGAGAUGAAAGGGACACAAGAUGAAAAGGAUUGUGUUGAUGAUAUCUUCAAUUCCAAGGGAUAUUGCGAAGGCUACAACAGUACAACGAGACCAGAGAUAACAUCGAUUGUUGAGGAAACCGAAUCUUUGCAAUCUUCUAAGUUUAACAACUUCAGACUCUGUUAAACUUUAUAAGGUGGUGGGAAGCAGGAUUUUGAACUAGGUAGUGAGGUAUGAGUACAAUGUACAAGCUUUAACAGCAAGUGUAUUCCUAUAAUGUCAAUUGUGCAUACUUUCUUGAUCUUCUCUCGUUCUAUUUGUGCUCCUGGUUGCUGAUUGCUUUCUAGAUGUUGGUGGGUUUUAUUGGUUUCUUGACCAUUUUGCCCCUGCCUGGCAUUUUUUGGUGUAGUGCUUGUUAACUGAGGUUUUCUCCCUCUAUUCAUCUGUUUGCUUUUGUUUUGGUCUGCUAUGCUCUCUAUGUUGAUGGUGGGAUAGAUCUUUGCAAUUUGGACCUUUUUACCCUUAUGGGGUGUUUUUCUUAUUGUUUUUAGUUCUCUGUAUCUUUUUGCUUUUGUUUGUUUGAUUCUUCUUGAAUUGGCAUAACUUCGUUAAUUGGAUCAAAAUAUAAAGCCUGGUUAUUCAAUUAGGCCCAUGUCUCACUCUAUUACUUCAUUUUCUGGCUCAGUAAGUUAUUUUCCUGUCAUUGUUCAAAUUGAAGUUGUUUUUUGCAAUUUGUUUCAACAUUUUCAGUUUUGUAUAACUUUUUUUUUAUGUUUGUUUUUCUUUCGUUUUUGUACCCCUUUUUUCCAUUUUUUAAAAUUGUUUUAUUAAUGCAUUUUUAUUUCCUUUUUCUUUUGUAGUAAUGGGUCAAAUUUCAAUUUUGACAAACAUCAUGGAUGUUUUUCCAAAAACCAAUCAAAAGUACCAUGGAUUAAUAUAGAGAAAAGCAUAGAAACAUGUUAUAAUAGCAAUGUACUUUCAUUUAUUUCAAUUAUUUGUCAAGUUUAAUGUUUAUUUUACAAAAUGAAUGUAAGAUGCUCUACAACAAAAUGAAAGUAAAUUGCUUUUCUUGCAUCUAGCCCAAUAGGGGCCAAUUGCAAGAAAUAACAAUAUUCUUUCAUUAUGUUGUCUAAUAUAGCAUCAUACUUUCAAUCUUUCUUUUCUUAUUCUUAGUUUUUGUUCUUAUUAAACGAUUGUACUUUGAAAGUACAAUCAUAUUGUCGAUAAAAUUGUAAUGGUAAUAAAAACUCA